UUGGAGAGUUUGAUCCUGGCUCAGGAUGAACGCUGGCGGCGUGCUUAACACAUGCAAGUCGAACGGGAUCCCGGGGGUUCGCUCCCGGGUGAGAGUGGCGAACGGGUGAGUAAUGCGUGACCGACCUGCCCCAUACACCGGAAUAGCUCCUGGAAACGGGUGGUAAUGCCGGAUGCUCCGGUUGGAUGCAUGUCCUUCCGGGAAAGAUUCCAUCGGUAUGGGAUGGGGUCGCGUCCUAUCAGCUUGAUGGCGGGGUAACGGCCCACCAUGGCUUCGACGGGUAGCCGGCCUGAGAGGGCGACCGGCCACAUUGGGACUGAGAUACGGCCCAGACUCCUACGGGAGGCAGCAGUGGGGAAUAUUGCACAAUGGGCGCAAGCCUGAUGCAGCGACGCCGCGUGCGGGAUGGAGGCCUUCGGGUUGUAAACCGCUUUUGAUCGGGAGCAAGCCCUUCGGGGUGAGUGUACCCUUCGAAUAAGCACCGGCUAACUACGUGCCAGCAGCCGCGGUAAUAA
rnacentral:rRNA from 1 species